UCCUGAUAUCAGAAGUGAUGUCACCAUGGGAACUGCCCUGUGGGGAGAAGGGUCACCUCAGUCUUCAUCUGCUCCUAUUCACUACUACUCAGAUUCGCUGGGCUUUCAUCCUGUGUGGACUCUACCAUGGGUUUUAGGCUCUUCUGUUGGGUGAUGUUCUAUCUCCUGGGGACAGACCUCACUAGUGCUGGAGUCUCGCAAUCUCCCAUGUACAGAGUUAUAAAGAGGGGACAGGAUGUAUACCUUGUGUGUAAUCCAGUUUCUGGCCACAGUGGUCUUUAUUGGUACCGACAGAACCCAGGACAAGGUCCAAUGUUUAUGGUGUAUUUUCAGAAUACGUUUUUAUUUGACAAAUCUGGGAUGCCUAGUGAUCGAUUCUCUGCAGUGAGGCCUAAAGGCUCCUUCUCCAUUCUGAAGAUCCAGUCUACAGAUCAAGAGGACUCAGGCAUCUACCUCUGUGCCAGCAGCUUAGUCACAGCAUGGUACAGGUGCUUCCUUCCUCCUCACAAACUUCUGACUUCAUUCUCCUCACAGUGUGUAGAGCCCCUAUGCAGAAUCAAACAUUACUUAUCCUUUAUACAAAGCCAUCACUGGAAAAUUCACAAAAGCCUGGCUGUAAAUAUGAGUGAGAGAAAUAAUUGAGACCUGUUCCAUUCUAGAAGUCUCCAGAGGCAAUUGGGUGCUACAGAGCAAUGACUGGACAUCUUAGCACUGGCUUUCAGACCACAGUAGCCAGCCAUGUACAGAAUCCUGAGGUUGCUACUCAUACACAAGCUUGUGCCACAUGCAGUGUCCAUGACUCCUCUCCUGCAGUUGUUUGAUCACUGUGGUAUCUGAAAUUCCUACAGCCAUGUCCUUAGCUAUGUUCUUUCUCCAGUUGCAUUUUCUACUUUAGCCACAUUAGACACCUUAGGCUAUAUAGUAUGAAAUUUGUCUUAUUUUUUUAAUUAAAAAGUCUUUGCUACAUUUAAUGGCAUUUACUUGAUAAACACAAAAUUAUCUGAAUACUGUUGCAGAAUAUU